UACGGAGGGUGCGAGCGUUGUCCGGAAUCAUUGGGCGUAAAGGGCGCGUAGGUGGCCCGGUCAGUCUCUGGUGAAAGCGCGGGGCUCAACCUCGGGUCUGCAGUCGAUACGAGCAAACUAGAGUGUUGCAGGGGAGACUGGAAUUCCUGGUGUAGCGGUGAAAUGCGCAGAUAUCAGGAGGAACACCGGUGGCGAAGGCGGGUCUCUGGGCAACAACUGACGCUGAGGAGCGAAAGCGUGGGGAGCGAACAGG
rnacentral:rRNA from 1 species